rnacentral:rRNA from 1 species
CACGUAGGGGGCAAGCGUUGUCCGGAUUUAUUGGGCGUAAAGAGCUCGUAGGUGGUUCGAUAAGUCGGGUGUGAAACCUCCAGGCUCAACCUGGAGACGCCACCCGAUACUGUCGUGACUAGAGUCCAGUAGGGGAGCGUGGAAUUCCUGGUGUAGCGGUGAAAUGCGCAGAUAUCAGGAGGAACACCAACGGCGAAGGCAGCUCGCUAGGACGGUACUGACGCUGAGGCGCGAAAGCGUGGGGAGCGAACAGG